AGAGUAUUACUGUGUGUCUUGAAACAUUGAAUGCCCCAAAACAACCAGUAUGAUAAGAAGGCCAGAAUAUACAGCUUCCCAAAAUGUUGAAAGACUAAGCUGUUUUUUUCUAAGGACUUGUAUACUAUCUAGGUUGCAAUUAGCCAUGGACAAUGAAUUUGGAGGUGCAUGCUGGAGCAUCAGAAAUUACAGACUUGGAAUAGAUAUUUGCAUAAUAUACAAGUAACAUUUACUGAAAAAUGACUAAUGUUUAUGUUAAUAAAGUGCAAUAUCCAUGCUUGUAACAUUUACAUGGGGGUAAUAGUUACAGUGUUGAAAGAGACUGCCAGUGUUACAUUUCAAUCUAAGUUACAGUGUGGAUGCUAAUUCUAAAUUCUUGAUAGUCAAGUGUUUUUAAUAACUUAUGGAUACUAAUUAUUUAUCAAACUGAUUAAUUUAUC
rnacentral:lncRNA from 1 species